rnacentral:rRNA from 1 species
UAGCUACAAUGGCCGGUCAAAGAGAAGCGAGGCUGUGAAGCGGAGCAAAUCUCAAAAACCGGUCCCAGUUCGGAUUGUAGGCUGCAACUCGCCUACAUGAAGUCGGAGUUGCUAGUAAUCGCGGAUCAGAAUGCCGCGGUGAAUACGUUCCCGGGCCUUGUACACACCGCCCGUCAAGCCAUGGGAGCCGGGGGCGCCUGAAGUCCGGGACCGCGAGGACCGGCCUAGGGCGAAACUGGUAACUGGGGCUAAGUCGUAACAAGGUAAC